rnacentral:tRNA from 1 species
GCCCGGGUAGCUCAGUUGGUAGAGCAGGGGAUUGAAAAUCCCCGUGUCG